UAUUAUUCUAAGAUGGUAAGGUAUUACGUGCCAUCGUUGGCACCUGCCUAAUGGUGUUUUCAAUGAUGUUCUCAAAAGUGAAGGUGGACAGAUGAAGGAUAAACUGCCUGUUUCAUAGUAGUGCAGGUACUUGGUGCAGGGUUUCUUCCGUCUUCCAUCACCACUCCUUAAGCAAGAAGUAGCAAGUUAUCCUGGCUGAUGCAGUGAAAUAGCUGAAGGGCAGGAACAUGACUACAUCCAAUCCUCGGCCAUCAGCUCUUUGCCUGGAGGUGACAGGGAGUAGAAGAGAUUCUGAAAAUCUGUCAAUUAUAAGCAUGCAUUUUGGGACAACUGUGAGAACAAGCCUGUGCUAA
rnacentral:lncRNA from 1 species